rnacentral:tRNA from 1 species
AGCGGGGUGGGGCAGUAAGGAGUGCCCGCCGGGCUCAUAACCCGGAGGUCGGAGGUUCAAAUCCUUCCCCCGCUACCA